GUAGACGUGGCCUUAUUAGUAUUAGUUUUGAACAAAUACAUUUCUGUGGAAAAGGAAUGUUUAAAAAACUUCUGUAAAUCAAAUUAUCUGAUUUAUAUUUGUUAUAACUACAAGACAAACACUAUCAGAUAUAGCUAUGGAAUGGAAGUAACAAGAGUAUGGCAUAAAAUCAUUUUAUAUAUUUGGAAUUACAGAAUUAUAUUUCAAAGAUAUGUGGCUCCAUAAGUAACUUUGGAAAUUAUGAUUUGUUGAAGUGCUUAAAAUAUGAUUGUAUUUUAAUUAUUUCUGAGGUAUUUCCAAUGUUUACUGUGGAGUUUCAGAGGCCCUAAUCCUACUUAGUGAUGCCCAUGUCAGUAAGGCAGUGGUUCAAGAUGAAACCUAGAUUCUUAACAAAUUCAGAUGUUUUCCAGUCAUGUUUCAUCAGCCAUCAACCUGGCCAAAAUCCAGUAUACAAAGUCAAGUUGGCGAAGGGAUCACCAUCCUUAAUGGCAUGCAGAUCUUAAAAUGAUAAGCUUUGAGCUUCAGUGUUUUUCUUUUUAUUUCCCAUCGUAUAGUUAGUGACAGAUCAACUUUUCAAGGUUCACCUCUUUUACUUACUGACCCCAAAAAAGAUGGUUCUUAGCGUGGUCUCAGAUGUUCUAUGUAAUUUCUGUUACUGUUUCAACAGAAACAGAUGUCCAUCUAGAACAAGGAGAAUCUUUUACAGUUCCAGUUGCAUCUAUGUACAAAUUAACUUUAUCAUCCUUAUAGUACUUGUAAGGAUUUGGGUAUCCAUUUUUCCUUUGGAAUUUCUUUUUGACUACAGUAAAUUUACCAUUAUCUUGAUAGCACAGUCAAACAACACUUGCAUGAUCCUACAUGCUAUAUUUCCUUUUAAUUGAAAUUACUGAUCUCAUAUUUUUGAGAGAGAGGGAGAAAGAAGAAAACUGUAAAUAUUGUUAGUUUGUGAGAAAAUCUAUUUAGGCAUAUAGUGUACAAUAUGGUUUGAAACAUUCUGUACCUUGUCAAAAACAUUCCUGAAUAAAACUGAUGGUUCUUGU